rnacentral:rRNA from 1 species
GACGAACGCUGGCGGCGUGCUUAACACAUGCAAGUCGAACGGGAGUAUUGAAGAAGCUUGCUUUAGAGAUACUUUAGUGGCGGACGGGUGAGUAACGCGUGAGGACUUGUCUUAUACAGGGGGACAACAGUUGGAAACGGCUGCUAAUACCCCAUAAGCCUUAGGGUAAAAGGAGCAAUCCGGUAUUCGAGAGACUCGCGUCCUAUCAGCUAGUAGGUGAGGUAACGGCUCACCUAGGCGAAGACGGGUAGCCGGCCCGAGAGGGCGAACGGCCACACUGGAACUGAGACACGGUCCAGACUCCUACGGGAGGCAGCAGUGGGGAAUAUUGGGCAAUGGGGGCAACCCUGACCCAGCGACGCCGCGUGAGUGAAGAAAUCCCUCGGGAUGUAAAGCUCUGUUGUGUGGGAAGAUAAUGACGGUACCACACGAGGAAGCCCCGGCAAACUACGUGCCAGCAGCCGCGGUAA